rnacentral:rRNA from 1 species
UACGUAGGCAGCAAGCGUUGUUCGGAAUUACUGGGCGUAAAGAGUGUGUAGGUGGUGUCGUAAGUUUGGUGUGAAAUCUCCCGGCUUAACUGGGAGGGUGCGCCGAAGACUGCGAUGCUGGAGUAUGGGAGAGGAAAGCGGAAUUCCUGGUGUAGCGGUGAAAUGCGUAGAUAUCAGGAGGAACACCUGCGGUGUAGACGGCUUUCUGGACCAUUACUAACACUGAGACACGAAAGCGUGGGUAGCAAACAGG